CACGGGGGGAGCAAGCGUUGUUCGGAAUCACUGGGCGUAAAGGGCGCGUAGGCGGCGUGGCAAGUCUCCUGUGAAAUCUCCGGGCUCAACUCGGAGCCUGCAGGAGGGACUGCCAUGCUGGAGUGUGGGAGAGGUGCGUGGAAUUCCUGGUGUAGCGGUGAAAUGCGUAGAUAUCAGGAGGAACACCUGUGGCGAAAGCGGCGCACUGGACCACAACUGACGCUGAGGCGCGAAAGCUAGGGGAGCAAACAGG
rnacentral:rRNA from 1 species